GCCUUAAAUAUUUGAAUAAAAUUUAAACUCAGAUUUGUGUGAAGCCGAGAGAGACACAGUUGCGUCACAAGACUGUAGUUGUAGCACUGUGAUAAAACACAGCUGAGAGAGAAAGCAGAAGAAGAAAGAAGAAGACGACGCCCAGCCCCAAGUGCCAUAACCAACAUAAGCAUCUCUGUCUCUCUCUAAAAAACACACUGCCAUAACUCUCUCUCUCUAAAAAAACACACUGUUGAAUUGAACAUAAGCAUCUCUCUCUCUCUCCCUAGAAACUUUUCCAAUAUACUAACAAACAAGCAAACCCACUGCAACUUAUUAUCAUUGUCGUAAUUAACACAAACUAACAUUAAUUAAGUGACAACACGCCUCAAUAUUGGAUACUAGUCACAACCAAUCUUGAUUCCACCCUGCUUGCUGCCGCCGCUCCAACUAACCCAGAAAAAUGAAGACAUUAAAGCAAAAAAAUAUGGGUCCAUUAGCUGUUUGCCGCUGCUGCAAUCCCAUUUCGGACACCAAUUGCCGAUAAAAAUGGCUGAAAGCUUGCAAAUUAAGACCGCCGAUCUGAUAUUAAAUUAAGGCUGAAAGUUUGCAAAUUAAAUUACAAAAUCUGACAUUUUUUGAGAAGAGUGCUUACCAUUCUCUCUCUUGUUUGCCAUGGCGUGAUUUUGGAGACAAACGUCGGGAGAUAUUUUUUUCAAACCAUUCCAGAUUUUCGACCCAGAUCCAAGAAGCCCUUCAUCUACUCAGUCCAGUUGCACCUUCACCGACGAAUUUCCGGCGACGACGGCUUCAUCAAUGUGCUUUCAAUUUUUCACCCCGAAUGUCGGGAGAAUAUUUUUUCGCACCAUUUCACAAUUUCGAAAGUGUUUUGAGCAGAGCAUCACUAACCCAAGCCAUUGGCGCCUUCACCGACGAAUUUCAAGCAACAUACAAGGAUCUCCAGCGUUAUUCACGAUUUUCAUGUAUUUUUCAAGCCAUCAUUACCAAUUUUCAGAUAAAAGU
rnacentral:lncRNA from 1 species